CCUACGGGUGGCUGCAGUGAGGAAUAUUGGUCAAUGGGCGGAAGCCUGAACCAGCCACGUCGCGUGAGGGAAUAAGGCCCUACGGGUCGUAAACCUCUUUUGCCGGGGAGCAAGUGCGGGGACGUGUCCCGGCCCGGUGAGUACCCGGAGAACAAGCAGCGGCUAACUCGGUGCCAGCAGCCGCGGUAAUACGGAGGAUGCGAGCGUUAUCCGGAAUUAGUGGGUUUAAGGGGUGUGUAGGCUGGCAUUUUAGUCAGCGGUAAAAGUUCGGGGCUAAACCCCGUCAGACCGUUGAAACUGGGGGCCUUGAGUGGGCGAGAAGAAGGCGGAAUGCGUGGUGUAGCGGUGAAAUGCAUAGAUAUCACGCAGAACCCCGAUUGCGAAGGCAGCCUUCCGGCGCCCUACUGACGCUGAGGCACGAAAGUGCGGGGAUCGAACAGGAUUAGAUACCCGUGUAGUC
rnacentral:rRNA from 1 species